GUCGUUUUAAUAUAGUGGUGAGUAUUCUCGCCUGUCACGCAGGUGACCCGGGUUCGAUCCCUGACAACGGCG
rfam:Picea glauca, whole genome shotgun sequence.